GAUGAACGCUAGCUACAGGCUUAACACAUGCAAGUCGAGGGGAAACGACAUCGAAAGCUUGCUUUGAUGGGCGUCGACCGGCGCACGGGUGAGUAACGCGUAUCCAACCUGCCCACCACUUGGGGAUAACCUUGCGAAAGUAAGACUAAUACCCGAUGAUAUCUCUAGACGACAUCUGAAAGGGAUUAAAGAUUUAUCGGUGAUGGAUGGGGGAUGCGUCUGAUUAGCUUGUUGGCGGGGUAACGGCCCACCAAGGCAACGAUCAGUAGGGGUUCUGAGAGGAAGGUCCCCCACAUUGGAACUGAGACACGGUCCAAACUCCUACGGGAGGCAGCAGUGAGGAAUAUUGGUCAAUGGACGGAAGUCUGAACCAGCCAAGUAGCGUGCAGGAUGACGGCCCUAUGGGUUGUAAACUGCUUUUAUGUGGGAAUAAAGUGAGGGACGUGUCCCUUUUGUAGGUACCACAUGAAUAAGGACCGGCUAAUUCCGUG
rnacentral:rRNA from 1 species